UGAGACCUCUUGAUGGCCGCGGCCGUGAUCUUCAUUGGGAUCGGCUGAGGAACUUCCGGGCUCCAUAGAGCACGAUGGCGGAUAACGUCCGCCCAGGGUGACCUGAGAGAUAGCGCAACAGAGAACAGACCGCCCGUCCUCGACGGGUAAGGGUGAAACGGCGGUGUAAGAGACCACCGGGCCUCUGGUAACAGUAGGUCGCAUGGCAAGCCUCAUCGGGAGCAAGGCCAAGCAGAUGGCGGUAAGGGCUGCUCGCCCGUGUCAUCGGGUAGGCUGCUAGAGCCUGGCGGCAACGUCAGGUCGAGAUGGAUGGCCAUCCGUGCCGUGCGUUCGCGCACGGCACGACAGAACCCGGGGUAUAUGAGGUCUCAUUUU
rnacentral:RNase_P_RNA from 1 species